rnacentral:rRNA from 1 species
UGGGAACGUACCCUUUGGUUCGGAACAACCCAGGGAAACUUGGGCUAAUACCGGAUAAGUCCGUAAGGAGAAAGAUUUAUCGCCAAAAGAUCGGCCCGCGUCUGAUUAGCUAGUUGGUGGGGUAAUGGCCCACCAAGGCGACGAUCAGUAGUUGGUCUGAGAGGAUGAUCAGCCACAUUGGGACUGAGAUACGGCCCAGACUCCUACGGGAGGCAG